rnacentral:rRNA from 1 species
AGAGUUUGAUCAUGGCUCAGGAUGAACGCUGGCGGCGUGCUUAACACAUGCAAGUCGAACGGGGUGCUCAUGACGGAGGAUUCGUCCAACGGAUUGAGUUACCUAGUGGCGGACGGGUGAGUAACGCGUGAGGAACCUGCCUUGGAGAGGGGAAUAACACUCCGAAAGGAGUGCUAAUACCGCAUGAUGCAGUUGGGUCGCAUGGCUCUGACUGCCAAAGAUUUAUCGCUCUGAGAUGGCCUCGCGUCUGAUUAGCUUGUUGGCGGGGUAACGGCCCACCAAGGCGACGAUCAGUAGGGGUUCUGAGAGGAAGGUCCCCCACAUUGGAACUGAGACACGGUCCAAACUCCUACGGGAGGCAGCA